ACACAACGCUCUGGGUUGUUUGCAUUUGUUUAAACCAAUCACAUUUAUCUUUGGCGGUGCUAAGCUCGGGAUGCAGCGACGGUGCACUUAUAAAACAGA